AUUUAUUCCAGCCCCUUCAAGUAUCUUCCUUUUCCUUUCAACAGCCUCCUCCCUUGCUGGCAAAACAUCCUCAUUAUAGUAACGCAUCAAGGAUCUCUGUAUCCCACAACGUCCUAGUGAUCCUGGUAUUGCAGUUACUCUGCCAAAUGAAAAUAAUGUGGUUGUGAUGGUGCAUUUUUGAAAAGCUCCAUAGAAAAAUGAUAACAGAUGUACCAAAUAAUAAUAUGGGAGCCACUGAAUCACAGGAGGGGAAGGUUCUCCACAGUGAUGUUAGAUUCCAUCUCCUCUGUGGUCUGGUUCUCAACAUCUUUCACCUUUGGAAAGAAAUAGUGCCCAAAUAAUCUCCCUGCUCCAAACCAUCCUGUUCACUACUGUCAAGAGUCUCAUCUUGAAGCCAAGACCCCAUCUUGUCACCUUCUUCCUCAAGAACCUCUGCCUCUCAUCCUGCUUCCUAUUGUUCUUUUCCCUACCAAUAUCUCAUUUACAACUGCUGAGUCUUAACAAGUUAGGUGUGCUGGAGAUAUCACCAGAUAUAGAUUAAAAGAGAUCUGAGUUUGUGGAAGAUUAUAUUUUCUAGUGAUGGCCACAUCAAUAUCUCCCACCUCCCAUUCUCUUCUGCAGUGUGACCUUACUACUCCUCCCCAUUAAGAGAAGGAGUCUAUUUCUCCUCCUUCUUGAGUCUGGGCAGGUCCUGUGACUACCUUGACAAAAAAAAAACCACCAAAAAACAAAGAACCCCAAUAACAUCAACAACAACAAGAAAACCAGUAGAAGCUAUGCUAUGCCAGCUCCAGACAUCGUCCUUAACUAGCAUUGGCAGCACCGUACAAGAAGUGUGAUCACCCUGAUACUACCAAGCAUGUGAGAAAUCCACACUUGGAGAGGUCCUGUAGGAUAAAAAGUGAUGUGGAGCUGGAAAGACUCCAAGAAGCACUGAGGCGGCAGACAGGUAGAUGAGGAAACCACCUUGGAAGUUGAAUCCUCACACCAUCUGCCCCAGCUGAUGCUCCAUGGGUCAGAAACAAACCACAUGGCCAAACCCUUCUGGAAUUCCUGAUCCACAAGGAGGGGUGGGGGGCAGAUACAACAGUGGUUCCACACCACUAAAUUUUGGGGUGUUUUGUUACACAGCAAUAAACAACCAAAAUAGGGUUCUUGUUCCAUUUCUGUCUUUGAGUAAUCCAGUGACUCCAGAAGCUCUUUAUCCACCUCUAUGAGAUGUGGACACUGAUCCUUGACUAUCUACCUCAUGUACUUGCUGUAAUGUUCAAAGAUAAAUAGGUGAAAGUAUUG
rnacentral:lncRNA from 1 species